rnacentral:rRNA from 1 species
AGUGAACACUGGCGGUAGGCCUAACACAUGCAAGUCGAACGGCAGCACAGGAGAGCUUGCUCUCUGGGUGGCGAGUGGCGGACGGGUGAGGAAUACAUCGGAAUCUACUCUGUCGUGGGGGAUAACGUAGGGAAACUUACGCUAAUACCGCAUACGACCUACGGGUGAAAGCAGGGGACCUUCGGGCCUUGCGCGAUUGAAUGAGCCGAUGACGGAUUAGCUAGUUGGCGGGGUAAAGGCCCACCAAGGCGACGAUCCGUAGCUGGUCUGAGGGGAUGGUAAGCCACACUGGAACUGGGACACGGUCCAGACUCCGACGGGAGGCAGCAGUGGGGAAUAUUGGACAAGGGGCGCAAGCGUGAUCCAGCCAUACCGCGUGGGUGAAGAAGGCCUUCGGGUUGUAAAGCCCUUUUGUUGGGAAAGAAAUCCAGCUGGCUAAUACCCGGUUGGGAUGACGGUACCCAGAGAAUAAGCACCGGCUAACUUCGUGCCAGCAGCCGCCGUAA